UACGGGGGGGGCAAGCGUUGUUCGGAAUUACUGGGCGUAAAGGGCUCGUAGGUGGCCAACUAAGUCAGAUGUGAAAUCCCUCGGCUCAACCGGGGAACUGCGUCUGAUACUGGAUGGCUUGAAUCCGGGAGAGGGAUGCGGAAUUCCAGGUGUAGCGGUGAAAUGCGUAGAUAUCUGGAGGAACACCGGUGGCGAAGGCGGCAUCCUGGACCGGUAUUGACACUGAGGAGCGAAAGCCAGGGGAGCAAACGGG
rnacentral:rRNA from 1 species